rnacentral:rRNA from 1 species
CGUCCUUAGUUACCAGCACGUUAUGGUGGGCACUCUAAAGGGAGACUCGCCGGUGAACAAACCGGAGGAAGGUAGGGGAGGUGACGUCAAGUACACUCAUGGCCCUUACGGGCUGGGCUACACACGUGCUACAAUGGUGGUGACAGUGGGCAGCGAGACCGCGAGGUCGAGCUAAUCUCCAAAAGCCAUCUCAGUUCGGAUUGCACUCUGCAACUCGAGUGCAUGAAGUUGGAAUCGCUAGUAAUCGCGGAUCAGCAUGCCGCGGUGAAUACGUUCCCGGGCCUU